ACAUACAAUGACUCUCGGCAACGGAUAUCUCGGCUCUUGCAUCGAUGAAGAACGUAGCGAAAUUGAAUUGCAGAAUCCCGUGUUCCAUCGAGUCUUUGAACGCAAGUUGCGCCCGAAGCCAUUAGGCCGAGGGCACGAAUGCCUGGGUGUCACAC
rnacentral:rRNA from 1 species